GCUGAACCGGUUGUGAGGAAGGAACUUCAUAACAUGCCUGAGGAGUCUGUAUUCAUCUACUGCCUUGUAGGAGACAGAGCCUACUGGAAAGAUCCCAACAAUGAAUUCAGGAAGAAUCUGAAACUAACAGGAGUGCCUACACUACUUAAAUAUGGAACACCUCAGAAGCUGGUUGAAGAAGAAUGUUUUAAAGCAGAGCUUGUGCGUAUGUUGUUUACUGAAGACUAAAUCCUCCAGCAGUCAAUCAUUUACAAAGAUGUUAAUCUCAAGUUAUUUGCAAUGUCCUUUCAAGGAAUCUUUAACCUUUUUUUUUAAAACUUUCAGUUAAUUCCUUCAGACUAGUCAAGAUAAAUGUAAUUAAGUUCUAGGUCCAAACCUUCCACUAAAAUCCUG